AGGCAGCAGGCGCGCAAAUUACCCAAUCCCGAUCCGGGGAGGUAGUGACAAUAAAUACUGAUACAGGGCUCUUUUGGGUCUUGUAAUUGGAAUGAGUACAAUCUAAAUCCCUUAACGAGGAACAAUUGGAGGGCAAGUCUGGUGCCAGCAGCCGCGGUAAUUCCAGCUCCAAUAGCGUAUAUUAAAGUUGUUGCAGUUAAAAAGCUCGUAGUUGAACCUUGGGCCUGGCUGGCCGGUCCGCCUCACCGCGAGUACUGGUCCGGCUGGGCCUUUCCUUCUGGGGAACCCCAUGGCCUUCACUGGCUGUGGCGGGGAACCAGGACUUUUACUGUGAAAAAAUUAGAGUGUUCAAAGCAGGCCUUUGCUCGGAUACAUUAGCAUGGAAUAAUAGAAUAGGACGUGCGGUUCUAUUUUGUUGGUUUCUAGGACCGCCGUAAUGAUUAAUAGGGAUAGUCGGGGGCGUCAGUAUUCAGCUGUCAGAGGUGAAAUUCUUGGAUUUGCUGAAGACUAACUACUGCGAAAGCAUUCGCCAAGGAUGUUUUCAUUAAUCAGGGAACGAAAGUUAGGGGAUCGAAGACGAUCAGAUACCGUCGUAGUCUUAACCAUAAACUAUGCCGACUAGGGAUCGGGCGGUGUUUCUAUGAUGACCCGCUCGGCACCUUACGAGAAAUCAAAGUUUUUGGGUUCUGGGGGGAGUAUGGUCGCAAGGCUGAAACUUAAAGAAAUUGACGGAAGGGCACCACAAGGCGUGGAGCCUGCGGCUU
rnacentral:rRNA from 1 species